rnacentral:rRNA from 1 species
UACGUAGGGUCCGAGCGUUGUCCGGAAUUAUUGGGCGUAAAGGGCUCGUAGGCGGUUAGUCGCGUCGGGAGUGAAAACUCAGGGCUCAACCCUGAGCGUGCUUCCGAUACGGGCUGACUAGAGGUAUGCAGGGGAGAACGGAAUUCCUGGUGUAGCGGUGGAAUGCGCAGAUAUCAGGAGGAACACCGGUGGCGAAGGCGGGUCUCUGGGCCGAUACUGACGCUGAGGAGCGAAAGCGUGGGGAGCGAACAGG